GUCAAACGCAAUUAAUUUUUAGCUAUUUUUUCGACAAUAUUCUGGUCUCAAAGCAAAAACAUGCAUGUUGUACUUUAUGUCAGAAGAAAACAAGAAUAGAUGCCAAUGAGGCAGUACUUGAAGAGGGAAAUGAGGUGAAUGAACCAGCUUAAUGUACAAUCAAUUCAGCAGUACAGAGAGAGUUUGAGUAUAACUUAAUGUGUAUUUUAAUUAAUGAAAUAUCUGAGAGUCUCAUGUUAAACAAGAAAAGUCAGU